rnacentral:tRNA from 1 species
GCCCAACUGGCGAAAUUGGCAGACGCGCUAGGUUCAAAAUCUAGUAUCAGUUAAAUGGUGUAAGGGUUCAAGUCCCUUGUUGGGCACUA